UACGAAAGGGGGGCUAGCGUUGCUCGGAAUCACUGGGCGUAAAGGGUGCGUAGGCGGGUCUUUAAGUCAGGGGGUGAAAUCCUGGAGCUCAACUCCAGAACUGCCUUUUGAUACUGAAGAUCUUGAGUUCGGGGAGAGGUGAGUGGAACUGCGAGUGUAGAGGUGAAAUUCGUAGAUAUUCGCAAGAACACCAGUGGCGAAGGCGGCUCACUGGCCCGAUACUGACGCUGAGGCACGGAAAGCGUGGGGAGCAAACAGG
rnacentral:rRNA from 1 species